rnacentral:rRNA from 1 species
UGGGGAAUUUUGGACAAUGGGCGAAAGCCUGAUCCAGCCAUGCCGCGUGAGUGAAGAAGGCCUUCGGGUUGUAAAGCUCUUUUAGUCGGAAAGAAAGAGUUGCAAUGAAUAAUUGUGAUUUAUGACGGUACCGACAGAAAAAGCACCGGCUAACUACGUGCCAGCAGCCGCGGUAAUACGUAGGGUGCGAGCGUUAAUCGGAAUUACUGGGCGUAAAGGGUGCGCAGGCGGUCUGGCAAGUCAGAUGUGAAAGCCCCGGGGUUAACGUGGGAAUUGCGUUUGAAACUACAAGGCUAGAGUGCAGCAGAGGGGAGUGGAAUUCCAUGUGUAGCAGUGAAAUGCGUAGAGAUGUGGAAGAACACCGAUGGCGAAGGCAGCUCCCUGGGUUGACACUGACGCUCAUGCACGAAAGCGUGGGGAGCAAACA